rnacentral:rRNA from 1 species
AACGAGCGCUGGCGGCAUGCCUAACACAUGCAAGUCGAACGAGACCUUCGGGUCUAGUGGCGCACGGGUGCGUAACGCGUGGGAACCUGCCCUUAGGUUCGGAAUAACUCAGAGAAAUUUGAGCUAAUACCGGAUAAUGUCUUCGGACCAAAGAUUUAUCGCCUUUGGAUGGGCCCGCGUAGGAUUAGCUUGUUGGUGGGGUAAUGGCCUACCAAGGCGACGAUCCUUAGCUGGUCUGAGAGGAUGAUCAGCCACACUGGGACUGAGACACGGCCCAGACUCCUACGGGAGGCAGCAGUGGGGAAUAUUGGACAAUGGGCGAAAGCCUGAUCCAGCAAUGCCGCGUGAGUGAUGAAGGCCUUAGGGUUGUAAAGCUCUUUUACCAGGGAUGAUAAGGACAGUACCUGGAGAAUAAACUCCGGCUAACUCCGU